GGGAUCCUACGGGAGGCAGCAGUAGGGAAUAUUGCUCAAUGGGGGAAACCCUGAAGCAGCAACGCCGCGUGGAGGAUGAAGGUUUUAGGAUUGUAAACUCCUUCUGUGAGAGAAGAUAAUGACGGUAUCUCACGAAUAAGCACCGGCUAACUCCGUGCCAGCAGCCGCGGUAAUACGGAGGGUGCAAGCGUUACUCGGAAUCACUGGGCGUAAAGAGUGCGCAGGCGGGCUUGUAAGUCAGAUGUUAAAUCCUGUAGCUUAACUACAGCACUGCAUUUGAAACUAUGAGUCUAGUGUGUGGGAGG
rnacentral:rRNA from 1 species